AGCAGCCGCGGUAAUUCCAGCUCCAAUAGCGUAUAUUAAAGUUGUUGCAGUUAAAAAGCUCGUAGUUGAAUUUCGGGAUCAGCAGGUCGGUCGUGCCACUGGUAUGCACUGGCCUUGCUGAUUCCUCCCUCUUGAUGAGCCGUAAUGCCAUUAAUUUGGUGUUGCGGGGAAUCAGGACUGUUACUUUGAAAAAAUUAGAGUGUUUAAAGCAGGCAUGCGCUUGAAUACAUUAGCAUGGAAUAAUGAAAUAGGACGUUCGAUCCUAUUUUGUUGGUUUCUAGGGAUUGACGUAAUGAUUAAUAGGGAUAGUUGGGGGCAUUAGUAUUCAAUUGUCAGAGGUGAAAUUCUUGGAUUUAUUGGAGACUAACUACUGCGAAAGCAUUUGCCAAGGAUGUUUUCAUUAAUCAAGAACGAAAGUUAGGGGAUCGAAGACGAUCAAGAUACCGUCGUAGUCUUAACCAUAAACUAUGCCGACUAGGGAUCGGAUGAUGUUAUUUUUU
rnacentral:rRNA from 1 species